CACACCUCCCCAAAAAAGAAGAAGCAACUGGGAGAAGCAGCCCCGUGGCCAGUUAGGACAGUGUGUCUGCUUAGACUCACUUGACUCUGGUCCCCAGCGAGUUUCCAGCAGCCCAAGACCUCCCUCUGUUUCCUGGGAUCUAGGGGGUCCCCUUGCCAACCUGCAGUCAGCCUAUAAGGAGGCCAGAGGUGUUGUGCAACUUCAUCCCCGCUGAGCUGCAGGCAGCUGUGAGCUGAGGCCAGCAUUGGGAGCCAAACUCAGACCCUCUGAAACAGUACAGCCUCCUAACCUCUGCGUCCCAGUGGUCCUUACAGAAAUCUCUGCGAGGCCCACAGAUUGGGAAAAGAUAUUCACUAACCCCACAUCUGACAGAGGGCUGAUCUCCAAAAUUUACAAAGAACUCAAGAAGCAAGUCUCCAAAACACCAAAGGAUCCAAUUAAAAGGCAGAACCUGGAAG